AUUCUUAACACUGUAGCUUUCCCACUUUGUAGUUUUAGAAUCGAAACCCAUUAUUUGAUAUUACUCGACUUACCAGCGAUGAACUUAUAGAACAAGUAACUUCUUUGAUAAAUGAUUGCAAGUCAGUAUUGUACACACUUUCGAAACAAUCUUCAGGCAUAACAUUGGCUUUAAAAUCAGCUGAGGAAUUCCCACUCAAGUUCGAAUUCUGUCUGAUACAAACAGAUAACUCUACGUUUUUUUAUCAAUUUACUCUUCCUGCUGUACAAACAGUGCAGUAUUUGGAAAUGAGGCAAAAAAAACUCUUGGAACUUUUAGAGAAAAAAGACAAAGAAAUAAAAGAGCAUAUUUUAGAGAAUGGAGAACUAACUAGACAAGUGGUAGUAACAAAAGAAUUUGAUAGAGAGUCUUUUAUGCACGAUUUUCCUCAAGAUCUUUUAGUUAAUGUGUUUGGAAAGUCAAAAAUAUUUCAUGAUCGGUUUUCCGAAAAAUUUGGUGUGUACAAAUAUAGCGCUUCAGCGGAAGAAUGGGCAAAGAAAAAAUUAAAGCCAUAUAUAAAUACAUUGUAAUUACACGAUUAAUAAAUACAUCCCUUCAUA